UGCCCAUUGGCUGUAUGGAAGCGAGAAGUUUCGCUUCUUUUACUAACACAACAGUAGUACAUAUAUAUGUGUUGCGGGAAUGGAAGCGAAACAUUUCGCUUCCGUUGCCCAUUGGCUGUAUGGAAGCGAGAAGUUUCGCUUCUUUUACUAACACAACAGUAGUACAUAUAUAUGUGUUGCGGGAAUGGAAGCGAAACAUUUCGCUUCUUGUUGCCCAUUGGCUGUAUGGAAGCGAGAAGUUUCGCUUCUUUUACUAACACAACAGUAGUACAUAUAUAUGUGUUGCGAGAAUGGAAGCGAAACAUUUCGCUUCUUGUUGCCCAUUGGCUGUAUGGAAGCGAGAAGUUUCGCUUCUUUUACUAACACAACAGUAGUACAUAUAUAUGUGUUGUGGGAAUGGAAGCGAAACAUUUCGCUUCUUGUUGCCCAUUGUCUGUAUGGAAGCGAGAAGUUUCGCUUCUUUUACUAACACAACGGUAGUACAUAUAUAUGUGUUGCGAGAAUGGAAGCGAAACAUUUCGCUUCUUGUUGCCCAUUGGCUGUAUGGAAGCGAGAAGUUUCGCUUCUUUUACUAACACAACGGUAGUACAUAUAUAUAUGUGUUGCGGGAAUGGAAGCGAAACAUUUCGCUUCUUGUUGCCCAUUGGCUGUAUGGAAGCGAGAAGUUUCGCUUCUUUUACUAACACAACAGUAAUGCAUAUAUGUGUGUUGCGGGAAUGGAAGCGAAACAUUUCGCUUCUUGCUGCCUAUUGGCUGUAUGGAAGCGAGAAGUUUCGCUUCUUUUACUAACACAACAGUAGUACAUAUAUAUGUGUUGCGGGAAUGGAAGCGAAACAUUUCGCUUCUUGUUGCCCAUUGUCUGUAUGGAAGCGAGAAGUUUCGCUUCUUUUACUAACACAACAGUAAUGCAUAUAUGUGUGUUGCGGGAAUGGAAGCGAAACAUUUCGCUUCUUGUUGCCCAUUGGCUGUAUGGAAGCGAGAAGUUUCGCUUCUUGUUACUCAUUGGUUACUACAAGCGAAAUGUUUCGCUUUCUCGGACACAAUAUAAGAACGCAUGAGUCGCUUCAAAAAUCACAAUAUAUUAGAAGGAAUUUAUUCGCAUAUUAUGCCAACUGCCGAUUGCCGACA
rnacentral:lncRNA from 1 species